AUGGACGAGCACCUAGGCGAGAUGGCGCGCUGGAUCGACACCCUCGUCGCCAAGGGGGUCAAAGAUCUCGUCUUUGUCAACCGCCCUUGGCCGAUUGACCUGCGCCUCCCCGCCACGCUCUUCAGCUGCGCCUCCCUCACCCGCCUCUACCUCGGCGUCUGGAGGCUCCCGGACACCGCCGCCGUACCGCGCGGUGCCAGAUUCCCCAACCUCCUGGAGCUCGGCCUUUGCAUGACUGUCAUGGAGGACCGUGAUCUGGCCUUCAUGCCCGAGAGAAGCCCCGUCCUGGAGUUCCUCCUCAUCAUGUGGAGCCAGAGCGGAGUGCGCCUCCGCCUCGUCAGCCAAAGCCUGCGGUGUCUUCAGCUGGCCCUUACCUGCUUGCAGUACAUCGACGUGGUGGAUGCCCCUCGCUUGGAGAGGCUGUUCCAAUGGGAAACUGUUCCCAGGGCCGAGCCCACUCCCCCCGGGAAAAAGAAACGCUCUUCCAGUAUCAAGAUUGGCCGUGCACCCAACCUGCGUGUGCUGGGAUACCUUCAGCCGGGAGGGCAGGAAUUGGGGAUUAGCGACACCGUCGUAGUGGCUGGGAGCAAGGAGAACAUUGUCCCUAGUGUCCAGAUUUUGGCCAUGGAGGUGCAGUUCGGUGUCCGCAGCGCUGUGAAGAAAGUGCCAGGCUUCCUCAGAUGCUUCCCCAACCUGGAGGCGCUCCAUGUCCAUUCCCCUCUCAUAUCUGAAGAGCCCACUGGCAAGGUCAAUCUCAAGUUCUGGCAGGAGGAUGGUCCCAUCAAAUGCGUGGUGCAGAGCAUGAAGAAGGUGUUCUUCUACGAGUUCCAAGGGUCGAGAAGCGAGGUUGCUUUCCUCAAGUUCAUCGCGGAGAGAGGGCGGGUGCUGGAGCUGAUGGUGGUCGUGGUGGCCGAGGAAUGUUUCUCUCCUGGGGAUGAUGGUCUGAAUGCCAAGCUGAAGCCUCUGACCAGCGCAAAGUGGAACAACAAAUCUUGCAAACUGCAGCUCUUCAAGAGCCCGUUAACUGGCGGGGGAGGUCCGGCUUACUGCCACCAGAUAGCUGCUGAUUUUGGGUUUGUUGACCCUUUUGACCUCCAGUACUACUACAAAGCAGAAAGGAUCCCUGUAAGUUAG
rnacentral:rRNA from 1 species